ensembl:ncRNA R53.11 ncRNA
AAGAAAAAUGUGUGCAGUUUUCAACGGGCGGCGAUACAUUUCGGCUAAUCGCUGCGAGACCCAUGGCCGUGGCCGAGUCUACAACUAGUUCACAAGAGCCGAAAUGGUGGGAAAGUCGAGGACUUUAAAU